rnacentral:rRNA from 1 species
GAUGAACGCUAGCGGCAGGCCUAAUACAUGCAAGCUGAACGGUAAAUGUUAUAGCAAUAUGAUAUGAGAGUAGCGUAAGGGUGCGUAACACGUAUGCAAUCUGCCCGCACCAGGAGGAUAGCUCCCCGAAAGGGGAAUUAAUACUCCAUAAUACCACGAGAGGGAAUCUGAUUGUGAUUAAAAUCCAAGGGGUUGCGGAUGAGCAUGCGUCUGAUUAGUUAGUUGGUGAGGUAACGGCUCACCAAGACGAUGAUCAGUAGGGGAACUGAGAGGUUGAUCCCCCACACUGGCACUGAGAUACGGGCCAGACUCCUACGGGAGGCAGCAGUAGGGAAUAUUGGUCAAUGGGUGAGAGCCUGAACCAGCCAUGCCGCGUGCAGGAAGACGGCCUUCUGGGUUGUAAACUGCUUUUGUCAGGGGAUAAAAUACCCGUGCGCGGGGAAUUGAAGGUACCUGAUGAAUAAGCCACGGCUAACUACGUGCCAGCAGCCGCAGUAACAC